rnacentral:rRNA from 1 species
GACGAACGCUGGCGGCGUGCUUAACACAUGCAAGUCGAACGAAGUGGCGAACGGGUGAGUAAAGCGUAAUCAACCUGCCCUUCAGAGGGGGACCACAGUUGGAAACGACUGCUAAUACCGCAUACUUACGGAGGGGAUUGCGUCUGAUUAGCUAGUUGGAGGGGUAACGGCCCACCAAGGCGAUGAUCAGUAGCCGGGCGGAGAGGAGGAACGGCCACAUUGGGACUGAGACACGGCCCAGACUCCUACGGGAGGCAGCAGUGGGGAAUCGUCCGCAAUGGACGAAAUUCUGACGGAGCAACGCCGCGUGAGUGAUGACGGCCUUCGGGUUGUAAAGCUCUGUUAAUCGGGACGAGGUACCGGAAUAGAAAGCCACGGCUAACUACGUGCCAGCAGCCGCGGUAAUUC